CUGUUCCCAUACCGAACACAGUAGUUAAGCUCAGUAGCGCCAAAAGUAGUUGGAGGAUCGCCUCCUGCGAGGAUAGGACAUCGCGAUGC
rnacentral:rRNA from 1 species